GACAGAGGGGGCAAGCGUUGCUCGGAAUUACUGGGCGUAAAGCGCGUGUAGGCUGCUUCGCAAGUCGGAUGUGAAAGCCCUGGGCUCAACCCAGGAAGUGCAUUCGAAACUGCAGAGCUGGAGUCCUGGAGAGGAAGGCGGAAUUCUCGGUGUAGAGGUGAAAUUCGUAGAUAUCGAGAGGAACACCGGUGGCGAAGGCGGCCUUCUGGACAGUGACUGACGCUGAGACGCGAAAGCGUGGGGAGCAAACAGG
rnacentral:rRNA from 1 species